CCCAAGGUGGCCGUACCAUAUGCAUUCCCCAGCAGAGGAUGAGAGUUCCAGCCAUUCUCAUUAUCAUCUGCAUGCUGAUGGUGGCAACUCCACAUGUAUUCAAGGUUUUCUGGAAUGCAUAAAAGUCAUCUGUAAGAGGAUUUUCACAAAAUGUCAGUAAGGAUCUCCUUGAUCUCUGUGCAUCAUCUCUAUGGUGGAUCUGCAGCUUGUCCUAAAGGGUAGAAAUACCAACGUGAUCACCAAGUCUUCAAGACAAUGAAGAAUGGCACGUAAUCUCCUUUGCAGCGAUGUUACUUUGCUGUGUGCUACUGGCCAGAACUCAGUGAGCAAUCCAUGUCCAAACAGCCUGCACCUUACACAUCAGGGGACUUGAUCUGUAAGCCUGGUUAUCUGAAUUGCUGAGUGAAGUGGCAUUCUGCUGAUGACCAACAAGGAGUUCAUUCUGCAGAUUUCAA